rfam:Oryza nivara chromosome 3, whole genome shotgun sequence.
CCCAAAAUAAGUUUUGCACUAUUCACGUUCAACGUUUGACCGUUCGUCUUAUUUAAAAUUUUUUUAUGAUUUUUAUUUUUAUUGCUAUUAGAUGAUAAAACAUGAAUAGUACUUUAUGUGUGAUUAAAUAUUUUCAAUUUUUUCACAAAAUUUUCAAAUAAAACAGACGGUUAAACGUUUGACAUGAAUAUUCACGGUUGUAUUUAUU